GUGAGUGUGGCGCAGACUGGUAGCGCGUCUGAUUUGGGAUCAGAAGGCCGCAGGUUCGAGCCCUGCCACUCGCACCA
rnacentral:tRNA from 1 species